rnacentral:lncRNA from 1 species
UCUCUUGUCACAGUAGAAACCACUUGACCCUUCCCUUUAGAAUCCCGUAGCUUUUUCUUGCCCAAGACAGGACGAAAAUCUUGUACCACUGGUGGAGUCGCAUUAUGUUCUAUAUGAGUCUCAGAAUCCUGGAGAAUAACUAGAGAACUAAAGGGAUUAUUAUUGGCCUUCAUCAUUGAUUUACCCUUGUUUGACUCCCUCGGACCAUGAUCAC